rnacentral:lncRNA from 1 species
UCUUUACAUGCAGUUUGAUGCAACCACGACAUUUUAUUCCCACCCUCGUAGAUGGAUCCCACUUUUGUUAUGGAGCUGCUAAUUGGUAGAGCCCAACUCAGCAUCCUAUGCUCUCGUUAAAUAGGGAGCAACAUAAGACAACAAACAUGGGAUUUUUGGCAACAUUUUGAGCAUAUGGUCCCCCGUUUUUCGUAUAUUAAUAUCUUGUUUAUAUUUUGGAUGUAAAACAUUUGAUGAGCUCCUUUGUAAGUUUUUGUAUACAGCAACCUAUUAGUGGGCUGCCUAAUACUUAUAUUUGAUUUAGUCUUCAUUUUAUUACAACAAUGAACACAUUAAAAAAAAAGAAAGAGCAGUAGCCUGUGUGGGGAUGGAUUUUCCUUUUAUUGUGGGGGCUACCAAUUGGUUUCUCCAUAACAUGUAUUUGCAAGCUAGUUUCCUAGAUUAUUGUUUCAUGGGGUC